UACGAAGGGGGCUAGCGUUGCUCGGAAUCACUGGGCGUAAAGCGCACGUAGGCGGAUUGUUAAGUCAGGGGUGAAAUCCUGGAGCUCAACUCCAGAACUGCCUUUGAUACUGGCGAUCUUGAGUCCGGGAGAGGUGAGUGGAACUGCGAGUGUAGAGGUGAAAUUCGUAGAUAUUGGGAAGAACACCAGUGGCGAAGGCGGCUAACUGGUCCAGAUCUGACGCUGAGGUGCGAAAGCGUGGGGAGCAAGCAGG
rnacentral:rRNA from 1 species